rnacentral:rRNA from 1 species
UACAGAGGGUGCGAGCGUUGUUCGGAAUUAUUGGGCGUAAAGGGCGCGUAGGCGGUGCGGUAAGUCAGCUGUGAAAACUCGAGGCUCAACCUCGAGACGUCGGUUGAAACCGUAUGGCUAGAGUCCGGAAGAGGAGAGUGGAAUUCCCGGUGUAGCGGUGAAAUGCGCAGAUAUCGGGAAGAACACCCGUGGCGAAGGCGGCUCUCUGGGACGGUACUGACGCUGAGACGCGAAAGCGUGGGGAGCGAACAGG